CGUAGGUAACCUGCCUCUUAGCGGGGGAUAACUAUUGGAAACGAUAGCUAAUACCGCAUAAAAGUCGAUAUCGCAUGAUAUUGAUUUGAAAGGUGCAAUUGCAUCACUAAGAGAUGGACCUGCGUUGUAUUAGCUAGUUGGUGAGGUAACGGCUCACCAAGGCGACGAUACAUAGCCGACCUGAGAGGGUGAUCGGCCACACUGGGACUGAGACACGGCCCAA
rnacentral:rRNA from 1 species